rnacentral:rRNA from 1 species
UACGGAGGGUGCGAGCGUUGUCCGGAAUCAUUGGGCGUAAAGGGCGCGUAGGUGGCCCGGUCAGUUCGUGGUGAAAGCGCGGGGCUCAACCCUGCGUCGGCCAUGAAUACUGCCGCGGCUGGAGCACUGUAGAGGCAGGCGGAAUUCCGGGUGUAGCGGUGGAAUGCGUAGAGAUCCGGGAAGAACACCGGUGGCGAAGGCGGCCUGCUGGGCAGUUGCUGGACACUGAGGCGCGACAGCGUGGGGAGCAAACAGG